AGUAUUAUUUAAUCUAAGACUAAACGUCGGGCUUGAUUUUACAUUACAUUGGAAAAUAAGGCCUUGUGUAAAUAAAGUAAAUAUCAUUGGCGAAUAAUUUUUUUUUUUUAUAAAAAGAAUUGUAAACGACAUCUUUUGUUCUUAGUUACUAUCGAAAAAAGCAGUCUCUUGACGGCAAGAGACCCAUAUGUUGUUUAAAUCCGAGCAUCAAAAAUCAAAUCUUCGCCGAUCUUCCUCGUCUGUUUGCUUAUUCAUAUCUGAAAAACCCUAUUUUUUCUUCACUGAUCUGCAGAACUUCUGCAAUUAACCACAAAUUUCUACAAAAAUCUACCGGAUUCCAACUCUUUUGUUGUCAUCAUUGUUCAUGAUACGAUAUUACGAUGUGUCGCCCGAAACUAAUCAAUCUUGCUGAUAACGGGGAAUUGGAGAUACAAAAUGUCCUGCUACAUCCACUUGCAGAUCCGGCUUAGACUUGCUCUCAAAGAUUGUGAGAGCAAAACCAUCAUUUGGUAACCUGUAUACAUUCAAAAUAUAGAAUCGAUAGUUUAAUUUCUGGCAUCCAUAAACAGAGAUGGUUAUUAAAAAUAUAAGUAGAUUUUCACCAAAUUUGGUCGUGAGUGUUUUCUAGGUACGAAGGACAUGCACCUGCACUCAAACCUCUCCAAGCAGACUUGACAUCGUCAAGGAAAGCAGUUGAUUGUGCCAUUGUUUGAAAAACAAAAAGGAACAAUGAGAGGUUUGUUACGAAUAUAAGUAAUUAUUUGAUAAGUUAGAAACGAUAAUGACGUUCUCUAUUUAUAGUGUAGUAGGUUGUUAGGGUUUUUGGAUCCAAGAUUUCCGAAAAUCUUGGAAAAAAGCAAAAAAUAUAAGAUACGGUAAAUAACAUAUAUUCGUAUUUGGUAAACUAA